rnacentral:rRNA from 1 species
GACGGAGGAUGCAAGUGUUAUCCGGAAUCAUUGGGCGUAAAGGGCGCGUAGGUGGCGGGACAAGCGUGCGGUGAAAGCUCGGGGCUCAACCCCGCGUCGGCCGUGCGAACUGUUUUGCUUGAGCACUGUAGAGGCAGGCGGAAUUCCGGGUGUAGCGGUGGAAUGCGUAGAGAUCCGGAAGAACACCGGUGGCGAAGGCGGCCUGCUGGGCAGUAGCUGACACUGAGGCGCGACAGCGUGGGGAGCAAACAGG